rnacentral:rRNA from 1 species
AGGAAUUGGCGGGGGAGCACCGCAACGGGAGGAACGUGCGGUUUAAUUGGAUUCAACACCGGAAAACUCACCAGCAGCGACUAUUACAUGAAAGUCAGGCCGAUGACCUUACUAGAUUUUUAGAGAGGUGGUGCAUGGCCGUCGUCAGUUCGUACCGUAAGGCGUUCUCUUAAGUGAGAUAACGAACGAGACCCUCACCAAUAAUUGCUACUGCGUCGUCCGCGGCGUAGGCACAUUAUUGGGACCGCUGGCGCUAAGUCAGAGGAAGGAGAGGUCAACGGUAGGUCAGUAUGCCCCGAAUCUGCUGGGCUACACGCGCGUUACAAAGGGCGGGACAAUGGGCUCYGACACCGAAAGGUGAAGGUAAUCCCGAAACCCGUCCGUAGUUCGGAUUGAGGGUUGUAACUCACCCUCAUGAAGCUGGAUUCCGUAGUAAUCGCGAAUCAACAACUCGCGGUGAAUAUGCCCCUGCUCCUUGCACACACCGC